rnacentral:rRNA from 1 species
UACGUAGGGUGCGAGCGUUGUCCGGAAUUACUGGGCGUAAAGAGCUCGUAGGUGGUUUGUCGCGUUGUUCGUGAAAACUCACGGCUUAACUGUGAGCGUGCGGGCGAUACGGGCAGACUGGAGUACUGCAGGGGAGACUGGAAUUCCUGGUGUAGCGGUGGAAUGCGCAGAUAUCAGGAGGAACACCGGUGGCGAAGGCGGGUCUCUGGGCAGUAACUGACGCUGAGGAGCGAAAGCGUGGGGAGCGAGCAGG